AUGCCCACCUGCAUCAAGAACCUGGUAGCUCAGUACUUUAGCAACUUGCAGAUGUGUUUCUCCCUCCAGGACUUCACCACCGGGUGGCAGCGGCUCGAAGUAGGAAUCGCGAUGGGGUGUACCAUAUCGCCUACACUGUUUGUUGCAGCCUUUGAGAUAAUCCUCAUCGGGGCAAGGCAAAUGGUUGGGGGGAUCAAACUCCCAACUGGUAAGAGGCUUCCUCCACUGAGGAGUUACAUGGAUGAUGUCACCAGCCUCCUUCAGACAGCAGCAUGUACAUCAAGACUGCUGAAGAGGGUGGACGAAUUGAUAUCAUGGGCAAGAAUGAAGAUCAAGCCCUCCAAGUCCCAGAGCUUGUCCCUCAGAAGAGGAGUCAGAAAUGACAAUACCACCUUCGUCGUUGGAGGGGAAAAAAUCCCACUCCUAUCAGAGCAACCCAUCAAAAGCCUGGGGAGGCAGUACAGUUCAGACCUAUCUGACAAACAGAUGGGGAAAACCAUCAUGAAGCAGCUCUCUGACGGACUGGCAAGGAUCGAUCAAAGCCAACUCCCUGGGAAGUAUAAGGUCUGGUGCUACCAGUUUACACUCUACAGGAGGGUAAUGUGGCCCCUGAAAAUGAGUGAGAUUCCCUCAUCAACCGUAAGUAAGAUGGAUGGAAAAACUCAUUCAUCCGAAAGUGGUUGGGGUUGCCUAUCUGAAACCGGUCUCUUUGGAAAAAACAUGCUGCAGCUGCCACUACAGUCCAUACAGUUGGGCUACAUGCAGGAAAAGACCAGGUUGGUUCUCGAGCUGAGGGAGUCCACAGACGAGUCAGUGAGGAACGCAAAUGUUAAGGUUCCUACCGGCCGCAAGUGGAAUGCCCAAACUGAGGUCGAUCAAGCUGUCGGUCGGCUACAACACCGGGAGAUCAUGGGCAGAGUUCAGGCAGGAAGAGCAGGGCUAGGAUGGGGAGAGACGCCAUGCUUUUGGUCCAAGGCCAAUCGCAAGCAAAGGAAGGAGAUGGUGGUAGCAGAGGUGACGAGGAUGGAGGAAGAUCGCUACAAAAUCAAGGCCGUGUCGCAGGGUCGACAAGGAAGCUGGACAACCUGGGAGGGAAUCAUGAACCGGAACAUCAGUUGGUCAGACGUGUGGAAGAUCCCACAGGCAAGACUUAGCUUCCUCAUCCGUUCA
rnacentral:lncRNA from 12 species